rnacentral:pre_miRNA from 1 species
GAAGCUUGUGUCUUUUGUGGGGAAUGUCGUCUGGUCCAAGGCUAGGUAGCUAGCUAGAAUAGUAGUUGUAUUGUCCUCGGACCAGGCUUCAUUCCCCUCAAUUACUCUUGCUUC